GACGAACGCUGGCGGCGUGCUUAACACAUACAAGUCGAACGGUAAGGCCCUUCGGGGUACACGAGUGGCGAACGGGUGAGUAACACGUGGGUGAUCUGCCCUGCACUUCGGGAUAAGCCCGGGAAACUGGGUCUAAUACCGGAUAGGACCACUGCCUGCAUGGGUGGUGGUGGAAAGCUUUUGCGGUGUGGGAUGGGCCCGCGGCCUAUCAGCUUGUUGGUGGGGUGAUGGCCUACCAAGGCGACGACGGGUAGCCGGCCUGAGAGGGUGACCGGCCACACUGGGACUGAGAUACGGCCCAGACUCCUACGGGAGGCAGCAGUGGAGAAUAUUGCACAAUGGGCGCAAGCCUGAUGCAGCGACGCCGCGUGAGGGAUGGCGGCCUUCGGGUUGUAAACCUCUUUCAGCACCGACGAAGCGCAAGUGACGGUAGGUGCAGAAGAAGGACCGGCCAACUACGUGCCAGCCGCCGCCGUAA
rnacentral:rRNA from 1 species